AACGAACGCUGGCGGCAGGCCUAACACAUGCAAGUCGAGCGAGAUCUUCGGGUCUAGCGGCGGACGGGUGAGUAACGCGUGGGAAUAUGCCCUUCUCUGCGGAAUAGCCUCGGGAAACUGAGCGUAAUACCGCAUACGCCCUUUGGGGGAAAGAUUUAUCGGAGAAGGAUUAGCCCGCGUUGGAUUAGGUAGUUGGUGGGGUAACGGCCUACCAAGCCGACGAUCCAUAGCUGGUUUGAGAGGAUGAUCAGCCACACUGGGACUGAGACACGGCCCAGACUCCUACGGGAGGCAGCAGUGGGGAAUCUUAGACAAUGGAGGCAACCCUGAUCCAGCCAUGCCGCGUGAGUGAUGAAGGCCUUAGGGUUGUAAAGCUCUUUCAGCUGGGAAGAUAAUGACGGUACCAGCAGAAGAAGCCCCGGCUAACUCCGUG
rnacentral:rRNA from 1 species